rnacentral:rRNA from 1 species
UGGCGGACGGGUGAGUAAUGUCUGGGAAACUGCCUGAUGGAGGGGGAUAACUACUGGAAACGGUAGCUAAUACCGCAUAACGUCGCAAGACCAAAGAGGGGGACCUUCGGGCCUCUUGCCAUCGGAUGUGCCCAGAUGGGAUUAGCUAGUAGGUGGGGUAACGGGCUCACCUAGGCGGCGAUCCCUAGCUGGUCUGAGAGGAUGACCAGCCACACUGGAACUGAGACACGGUCCAGACUCCUACGGGAGGCAGCAUG